rnacentral:rRNA from 1 species
UACGUAGGAGACGAGCGUUGUCCGGAGUUACUGGGCGUAAAGGGUGCGCAGGUGGCGGCGCGCGUGGGGGGUGAAAUCGCCCGGCUUAACUGGGCGGGGGCCUUCCAGACGGCGUGGCUUGAGCAGCGGAGGGGGACGUGGAAUUCCGGGUGGAGCGGUGAAAUGCGUAGAGAUCCGGAGGAACACCGACGGCGCAGGCAGCGUCCUGGGGAGUACCUGACGCUCAGGUGCGAAAGCCAGGGGAGCGAACGGG